UUAUGCUUAUAUAUUAAUGAUCUUGAUAGGAGCACUUGUUUGCAGAAGGCAGAUAACUUAACUGGAAUUUUGUCUAUAUUAUAAUUUCACAUCAAAAUAAAACUAAGACCACCAAUAUUUGAUAAAACAUAAUGAUCUCCGCUUUGAAGUGCAUACUGCACAUGACCGUACUCUGGCAUAUCACUUGAAAGGAAGGACAUUCAUUCCGUCUAAUUAAUUUCACCCAUGAUUUCCUCUGUCCUUUGUUUUUUCGUGGAAAUUGAGGUAAGGAUGUUGUUGUUUUUUAAGCUGGAGCAGUCGGGAACGCUGCAAUAACAGCGACGAGACGACUCUGCCAUUCUAUCUUACUCUGUUCCAUUGGAACCGGAUGUUGUGGUCCGCCGUUUCGCUUACCGGAACCAGGAAGUGUGAAAAAAGGCCUAUAGAGAUUUAUUAUGAUGAAUGACAUGAAAUUAAGGUAGUACACAUGAUUGAUAGUUUGGUGCCCCCUAGUGGUUAAGAAAAUGUAGGCGUUUUUCUUUAAGAUGUCCUUGCGCAGCUACCGUAGUUCAGCAGACGAUGGCUGAUGCUGCUACUGGUAAGCGUGCUCUGAACACAGGAGCGAAAAUAUAGUGAUUAAAGUGUGUAACAUGAUUAUUUUUGGAUAUAUAUAAGAGUGAUUGAGCUGUCAACAAAUGUAUAAUGCUUCUAAUAGAUUUUAACUGUGAAUAUGCAUUAAGAAAUGCCAGCUUUGUGUUUCUCAUAGUAAAAACCGCAUGUUGCUAUCAAAGUAUUAUAUUAUGGAAUGACGCAAGACCACACUUAAAGUGACACUGUUGUUUAUCUUACAUCUUUUGUUUAUUUCAGUUUUGUCUGCAGUAUAUUGUCCUGUUACAUGUGAUGUGAUGUUAUGUGAUGGUUUGUUUCUCAGGUAACAACACUAUGGAGACUUGCCGCAAAUGAGCAGAUUGUGGCAAUUAACAAGUCUGCUCAUUACAGAUGUGAAAUCAUUGUGCGACAUGCAGAGUUAUUGACUCUGCGGCCCCAUGACAGAUUGUGUGGAGAAGUUAUGGAAAGUUACAUUCGGGCUGUCCUUAACAAAUAUGAUCAGGACAAAUUUAUCAGCUCAACCACUACAUCACCGGGGUCAUUUUAUAUGGACAAAAAGAGCAGGUGGCUCGACAAGGCUUGAAGAAUUACCUUCAUCUUCCAUCCAGCCAAAUAUUUGUAGUGGAUCCUGCGUGUGGCACAACUGACAACAGUAUCCUGAUGAACACAGCACAACAGUUUCAGUUAGUUUUAUAAUUACGUUGAUAAAUGAUUUUAUGUAUCUAUGAAUGUCUAAUAAUGAUACCGUGUAUGUUGUUGUCAAAGACAGACAGUACUUCAUGCGCCUAAAACACCAAUGGAGGAAUGAAUGGGCCCAAAUUAAUUAGACAUGUGGGCAAUAUACAGUACACUACACUUUACUAGUGUACACUUUUGCUUAGGACAAUCUUAGGAUAUGUGCAGCAUGCCCCUAAACCUUACAGCAUUACAAAAAUUAUCACUUCUUGCCAAGGCCGUAAAAUUGACAGACACUAUGUUGUCCCCCAACAAUUAUUGAAAUGUCCUUCCCAUUAACUGAA